rnacentral:sRNA from 1 species
GCUGGGCAUGGUGGCUCAUGCCUGUGAUCCCAGCACUUUGGGAGGCCGAGGUGGGUGGAUUACCUGAGGUCAGGAGUUCAAGACCAGCCUGGCCAACAUGGUAAAACCCUGUCUCUACUAAAAAUACAAAAAUUAGGCUGGGAGCAGAGGCUCACGCCUGUAAUCCCAACACUUUGGGAGGCCGAGGCCACCACGACCAGCUAAUUUUUGCAUUUUCAGCAGAGACGGGGUUUCACCAUGUUGGUCAGGCGGGUCUCGAACUCCUGACCUCAGGUGAUCCACCUGCCCU